rnacentral:rRNA from 1 species
GUGAGGAAUAUUGGUCAAUGGACGAGAGUCUGAACCAGCCAAGUCGCGUGAAGGAAGACGGUUCUAUGAAUUGUAAACUUCUUUUGUGCAGGAAUAAAGUGGGUUACGUGUAACCUUUUGUAUGUACUGUACGAAUAAGGAUCGGCUAACUCCGUGCCAGCAGCCGCGGUAAUACGGAGGAUCCGAGCGUUAUCCGGAUUUAUUGGGUUUAAAGGGUGCGUAGGUGGAUUGAUAAGUCAGCGGUGAAAGUUCGCAGCUUAACUGUAAAAUUGCCGUUGAAACUGUCGGUCUUGAGUGCAAAUGAGGUAGGCGGAAUGUGUUGUGUAGCGGUGAAAUGCUUAGAUAUAACACAGAACUCCGAUUGCGAAGGCAGCUUACUGGGAUGCAACUGACACUGAUGCACGAAAGCGUGGGUAUCAAACAGGAUUAGAUACCCCUGUAGUCC